UGGGAUGGCUCAUCACUCGAA
rnacentral:piRNA from 1 species